rnacentral:rRNA from 1 species
ACUAUGACGUUGAUAGGUCGGGUGUGUAAGUGUAGCGAUACAUUGAGCUAACCGAUACUAAUGAACCGUGAGGCUUAACCUUACAACGCCGAAG